rnacentral:rRNA from 1 species
CCUACGGGUGGCAGCAGUGAGGAAUAUUGGUCAAUGGGCGUAAUCCUGAACCAGCCAAGUCGCGUACGGGAUGAAGGUUCUAUGGAUCGUAAACCUCUUUUAUAAGGGAAUAAAGUGUGGGACGUGUCCUAUUUUGUAUGUACCUUAUGAAUAAGGAUCGGCUAACUCCGUGCCAGCAGCCGCGGUAAUACGGAGGAUCCGAGCGUUAUCCGGAUUUAUUGGGUUUAAAGGGUGCGUAGGCGGCCUUUUAAGUCAGCGGUGAAAUACUGUGGCUCAACCAUAGAGUUGCCGUUGAUACUGGGGGACUAGAGAAUGUAUGAGGCAGGCGGAAUGCGUGGUGUAGCGGUGAAAUGCUUAGAUAUCACGCAGAACCCCGAUUGCGAAGGCAGCCUGCCAGGCCAUGACUGACGCUGAUGCACGAAAGCGUGGGGAUCGAACAGGAUUAGAUACCCUUGUAGUC